AGAGUUUGAUCCUGGCUCAGAACGAACGCUGGCGGCGUGCUUAACACAUGCAAGUCGAACGCGAAAGGGACUUCGGUCCCGAGUAGAGUGGCGCACGGGUGAGUAACGCGUAAGUAAUCUACCCCUGUAUCUGGAAUAACCCACCGAAAGGUGAGCUAAUACUGGAUACGUUUAUCUUGAUGCGAAUGAUGAUAAAGAAAGGUGGCCUCUUCAUGAAAGCUACCGUACAGGGACGAGCUUGCGUACCAUUAGCUGGUUGGUAGGGUAAUGGCCUACCAAGGCGACGAUGGUUAGCGGGUCUGAGAGGAUGAUCCGCCACACUGGAACUGAAACACGGACCAGACUCCUACGGGAGGCAGCAGUGAGGAAUAUUGCGCAAUGGGGGCAACCCUGACGCAGCGACGCCGCGUGGACGAUGAAGGCCCUUGGGUCGUAAAAUCCUGUCAGAUGGAAAGAAAUGUACAGGUGUUAAUAUCGCCUGUAUUUGACGGUACCAUCAAAGGAAGCACCGGCUAACUCCGUGCCAGCAGCCGCGGUAAUACGGAGGGUGCGAGCGUUGUUCGGAAUUACUGGGCGUANAGCGCGCGUAGGCGGUUUGCUAAGUCAGAUGUGAAAGCCCUCGGCUUAACCGGGGACGUGCAUUUGAAACUGGCAGACUUGAGUACUGGAGGGGGUGGUGGAAUUUCCGGUGUAGAGGUGAA
rnacentral:rRNA from 1 species